GGGGCAGCCCAGAACACUGGGGAGACUAGAUCGAUAGGGCUGCACAGAGGUGGCACAGUUGUGCCAGAGGUAGCAGGGACAGGAGGGCUGGCAAGGGAGGGUCCAGGGCUAGGGGAUUCGGAGUGGCUUCAGGCGGACCACGUGGCUACCUUUUUUCCAGGGCCAGACUUUGGCAGCGUGUAAGGUCUGAGGACAGGGGCACCGGAGGCCGAGGAUGAGAGGCCAGUGCCUGUUUCCAGGCAGCCAGGGCCUCAGAAACUCCGGCCGGAGCACUCACCCGUCGGUGGAGGCCGUUACCAGGGCCACCUUAUUUGCGAGCGGGUCCCGGCGGGUCAUCCCGGAGCUGGCCAUCCGCACCGAAUUCCAAGCCCGGGCACAGAGGCCUAGCAGCCCCGCCUUGUGCAUGGAUCAGACCAGCAAGUGCCACUUCGGAUAAACCCUUUGGACUCCUAACUCCAAUCAGGUGUCUGCUUUGUUGAGGACUCACAGACACAGUCUCCUUUCUUCAAGAUCUUUACAAUGCAAGACCUCACUAACACACAGGGAUGGUCUCCCAGAGGGUCUGUGCUGUUCCUUCACUCAGAACAUCAAGAUGCACUGAAGUAAGGAUCCUCUAUUCUACAGUUCCUGCUAGCUGAGCUAUUCCAUGGGGGCUUCAGCAGGAAAUUCCAAGGUUGGCUUUGACAAGCUAAGGCCGGCUGGUGGAGCACAUCGAGUUCUGGAGGUUCAUGUGUGUUUUCAUGAAGAUCUGUCUGCCCGUAGCAGAUAAAGAGUUGUUGCCCCACUCCUCCUGGGGUCUUCUAUUUUCCUGGGAGGAAUUUCUGGAUUAACUGAACACACACACACACACACACACCCUUUUGAAGCAUCAACAGUAAUUCUGAGUUCUUAGGGACAAUGCAGAUUAAAUCCACAAUAAGAAAGACAACUAUGGCCAGGUGUGGUGGCUCACGCCUGUAAUCCCAGAACUUUGGGAGGCUGAGGCGGAUGGAUCACCUGAGGUCAGGAGUUAGAGACCAACCUGACCAACAUGGAGAAACCCCGUUUCUACUAAAAAUGCAAAAUUAGCCGGGCAUGGUGGCAGGCGCCUGUAAUCCCAAAUACUCGGGAGGCUGAGGCAGGAGAAUCACUUAAACCCGGGAGGCAGAGGUUGCAGUGAGCCAAGAUCGCGCCAUUGCACUCCAGCCUGGGCAAGAAGAGCAAAACUCCAUCUCAAAAAAAAAAAAAGAGUACUAUUGAUCCAGAGGUGACCAGACUAGCCUCACUGGAGAUAAUAGGUGACAUUAUUAUGCAAAGUGGUUUCAGUUCCCUUGUCUUGUUUUUGGAAUAGUAUAAGAGGCCUACAAUACGAAUAAAUAAGGCCCAUCACAAGCCUCACCAAAGGACAAAACUAAUCCACUUCUGAAGAAGGCUCUUUGUUGGGCCAGAUCAAAUCCUUGGACAGAACUGUACUCUUAAUCUCUGUAGUGAAAGUGGGGGGUAGUUUAAGAAUUUAUUAACCUUCUACCUUGAGCAAUCCCUCAGAAGUAAGAGGUGUCAGGCCUCUGAGCCGAAGCUCAGCCAUUGUAACCCCUGUGACCUGCACAUAUAUGUCCAGAUGGCCUGCAGGAGCCAAGAAGUCUGGGGCAGCUGAAAAACCACACAAGAAGUAAAACAGCCAGUUCCUGCCUUAACUGAUUAACCAACAUUACAACAUUCCACCAUUGUGACCUGUCCCUGUCCUACCUUAACUGAUCAAUCGACCUUGUGACAGUCUUCUUCUGGACAAUGGGUCUUAUCAUCUCCCCACCAUGUACCUUGUGACCCCCUCCUCUGCUAACAAUAGAUAACCACUUUUUACUGUAAUUUUCCAUUACCUACCCAACUCCUAUAAAGCAACCCCUUCCCCAUCUCCCUUCACUGACUCUGUUUUCAGACUCAGCCCACUUGCACUCAAGUGAAUAAACAGCCUUGUUGCUCACACAAAGCCUGUUGGUGGUCUCUUCACACAGAUGUGCUUGACAAAAGGGAAGGGUGGAUUUGUCCUUCUGGUUACAUAUGUUCUGCUCACUCAUUUUGAAUUUAAUUAAACAAGGAUUGCCCUUACCUUUUCAUACUUUGUAAGAAACCAUAAAUACUUAUGCACCAUGAUUUUUUUAAAGAAACACUUUUUAUUUUGAAGUAAUUAUAGUCUCAUAGGAAGUUGCAAAAGUAGUACAUAGAGUCCCUGAGUACUCUUCCCCCAGUGGUGACAACUGUAGUAUAAUAUCAAUUCUGGGAAAUUGACAUUGGUACAAUACCAAAUAUACUAUGCCUUUUUCUCUAAGGCAUGAUGUUGCAGUAGCAUCCUUGUACAUGUAGCUAGGAGAACUUGUACUAAGCCCAGAUAAAUAGUUGAAGUACAAGGGCAAGGAGUGUGUCUUUGAUAUUUUAAUAGAAAUCACCUAUUGCCCUCUAGAAAAGCUGUACCCUUUUCCAGUGGCAGAGAACCUUCCUGAAAGGCAGUCCUGUGUAAUGGUGUCCAUUUCAUCACACCCUUAAAACACUCAGCUUUAACAAACAUGCAGAUUUUUGCUGAUGUGGGAGAAAAUAUUAAUUAUUAAUGAUAUUAAGGUGAUUAUCUUUUCGUAUGUUUAUAGAUAUUUGUAUUUCUUUUUAAAUGAACUGCUCAUGACCUUUGUCUACUUUUAUUUGGGUUUACUUCUUUCUCAUUUAUUCCUAUAAACUCUUUAUAAAAGGAAAUUAACCAUUUGAUUGUCAUAUGUUGUGAAUAUUUUUACCAUUUUGACUUUUGAAUUUAUGUCUUUUUAAUGAAUUGUAGAAGUUUAAAAUCUUUAUGGAAUAAAUUUAUUUAGUUUUUUGUUUAUGGCUUCUGAGUUUUGUGUCAUGAUUAGAAAGGCCUUUCUUACUCCAAAAGUAUAAGAUAUUCAAUUAUAAGAUUUCCUGUAGUUAUUCAAUGUGUGUGUAUGUAUGUUUAAAUCUUUUGGCCAUCUGAUAUUUGUGCUUGUGUGGGAAGUGAGAUAGAAAUCCGGGUUAGUUUUUUUCCCAAAUGGUUAACCAGUUGUCUCAGCACUGUCUGAGUAACUCUUCCAUGCCUUGGUUUCUUUAUCAUUACCAUAUGUAUUUGAGCCUAUUUCUGGACUCUAGUUCAUUUUAUUGAUUUGUCUGUCUGUUCCCAAGUCAGGAUUUUAAUAGAUAUUGCAAAGAGGAAAAAGAAAGUGCUAAAAUUGCCAUAAAAUAACUUCAAAUAGAAGAGUAUGGCAGUUCAGAGGUGGGAGAGAGUAUUUUUAGUUGGGGUCUGAAAAAGCUUCAUGAAAGAGGGACAUUUAAGGUGAAGCUUGAAUGACGAGCACUACGUUGGGCAAAGGGAAUAAAGAACAA
ensembl:lncRNA DHRS4-AS1 DHRS4 antisense RNA 1